CUGUUCGAAUGAAUGGCCGACCACUACCAUUUCAGUGGUGGCGUAUGGCGACGCGUGCACCAACGGGAGAAGAGAGACGAGGAAAGCGAGAGAUGAGAGAGAGAAAUCAGCGACGCCAUUCGUGGCGGCGGCGGCAGCGGGGUCUCGACUGUCCGACGACGCAUCGGUUGGGUUCCGACGGUUUGGGUCUCGCAACACAAUCGGUUCAGUUGAUUCCAGGUCGGGUUUCUAUUUCAAGUUCAAGUUUUUGCUUCGGUUUAUUUCGGUUCGAUGGUGUCGAUGAUGACAAUGAUGAUGGUUUUAUGCUAAUACCGCGCGUUGUCUGAAGUCAAGUCGCACCUUCGCUGGAGAAAUCGGAAUCUCAUCGGAGCCACGAACACACCGGACCUUACGUCGGAACUAGAAGACGUCGUCACGCGCAUAUUGGAACUCGUGUUCGUGAUCGGAUAACCGCUCUCGUUCAUUCUCUUGGACUUUACUCAGUUUCUUACUCGUGCGUUACUUACAAGAAAUCGCAAUGCAACCAAGGUGAGCAUACUCGAUCCCUUUUUACGCUUAUUAUAUUUGGGAUGCAAUACAUGUACCUUGAAUCAGUUACACAAACAUGCUAGUUUUCUUAUACAAAAUAAUCUCUAUAUUUGCUCAUAUGUGUAUUACUUGAAUUCAUACGUGUUAUACUUACAAUCAUACGUGUUAAAAUUCAUAAGUUUGUACUUAAUCACUGCCAUGGAAAAAAAAAUUGGUUUAAAGCAUUUUUACAUUUACACUAAAACUUGUAUGCUCGCCAAUACUUUUUGUAUUGAACUAUGCUUUAACAUGUAUUGCAGGAUUUGGAUGAUGCAAGGAAUCUAGUAGGAUUGCCUAGAAACGCAUUUAAACUCUAAUACUUGUUGUACUGUAUUUUAUUUUCAAACAUGUUGUAAUUAGUUUUCAAUCUUUGUAUGAGACCAUUAAUC